GGACCGGUCCUAUCAGGCUGGGCUGCGGGGGUCUCUGAUGAGACCGGUCCCUGGCCGGCAGGGACCGGUUCCAGAACGUUGGCCCAGCGAGAGAAGCCGAAAUUUGGCUAAGUCCCGAAAGUGUUGCUCUCGGGAACCGGUCUCUCGGACAAGGACCGGUCUCCCGGGGACCGGUCUCUCAGGCAAGGACCGGUUCCCGAACGCGAAAUCCCCUCUGCCUGGUUGUGCAGCUUUCGGGGACCGGUCUCCCCGAGCAGGGACCGGUCCCUCCGAGCAGAGACCGGUCCCUCACUGCGAAAAUGGCCCAGGGAGGGCUGUUUCAGGAAACGAAAAGUUGAGGGGGC
rnacentral:lncRNA from 1 species